rnacentral:rRNA from 1 species
AACGAACGCUGGCGGCAUGCCUAACACAUGCAAGUCGAACGAGACCUCCGUGCCUAGUUGCGCACGUGUGCGUAACGCGUGGGAACCUGCCCUUAGGUUCGGAAUACUUCCCUUUAAGGGGUGCUAAUACCGGAUAAUCUCUUCGGACCAAAGAUUUAUCGCCUUUGGAUGGGCCCGCGUUGGUUUAGCCGGUUGGUAGUGUAAAAGCCGAUCAAGGCCUGGAUCCUUAGCUGGUCUGAGAGCAUGAUCAGCCACACUGGGACUAAGAAACGGCCCAGACUCCUACGGGAGGGAGGAGUGUGGAAUAUAGGAGAAUGGGGGAAGGCCUGAUCCAGCAAUGCCGCGUAAGUGAUGAAGGCCUUAGGGUUGUGAAGCUCUUUUACCCGGGGUGAUAAUGACGGUACCGGGAGAAUAAGCUCCGGCUAACUCCGUG